CACGGGUGAGUAACACGUAUCCAACCUGCCGUCUACUCUUGGCCAGCCUUCUGAAGGAAGAUUAAUCCAGGAUGGCAUCAUGAGUUCACAUGUCCGCAUGAUUAAAGGUAUUUUCCGGUAGACGAUGGGGAUGCGUUCCAUUAGAUAGUAGGCGGGGUAACGGCCCACCUAGUCUUCGAUGGAUAGGGGUUCUGAGAGGAAGGUCCCCCACAUUGGAACUGAGACACGGUCCAA
rnacentral:rRNA from 1 species